AUUUGAUAAUAGUUACUCCAUUUGUAGUAGUAGACACUCUGGCAGCUUGCGCGCCACCAUGGGAUGUUAUAGAAAUGGGGCUGGCAAGUGUAGGUGUUGUAUUACGGCACUGAUUUACAACAAAAGAGUCUAUGGCCGAGGACUUAGGUAUAGGUGCCUGAACUGGAGAUAGAGUAGAUGUUGCAUUUGGUGUAACAGGUGGUGGGG
rnacentral:misc_RNA from 1 species